rnacentral:lncRNA from 1 species
GAGCACUUUGGCAGGCCGAGGCGGGAGGAUCACGAGGUCAGGAGAUCGAGACCAUCCUGGCUAACACGGUGAAACCCUGUCUCUACUAAAAAUACAAAAAAUUAGCCGGGCGUGGUGGCGGGCGCCCGUAAUCCCAGCUACUCGGGAGGCUGAGGCAGGAGAAUGGCGUGAACCCGGGAGGCGGAGGUUGCAGUGAGCCGAGAUUGUGCCAUUGCACUCCAGCCUGGG